rnacentral:rRNA from 1 species
GAUGAACGCUGGCGGCGUGCCUAAUACAUGCAAGUCGAGCGAACAGACGAGGAGCUUGCUCCUCUGACGUUAGCGGUGGACGGGUGAGUAACACGUGGAUAACCUACCUAUAAGACUGGGAUAACCUCGGGAAACCGGAGCUAAUACCGGAUAAUAUAUUGAACCGCAUGGUUCAAUAGUGAAAGACGGUUUUGCUGUCACUUAUAGAUGGAUCCGCGCCGCAUUAGCUAGUUGGUAAGGUAACGGCUUACCAAGGCAACGAUGCGUAGCCGACCUGAGAGGGUGAUCGGCCACACUGGAACUGAGACACGGUCCAGACUCCUACGGGAGGCAGCAGUAGGGAAUCUUCCGCAAUGGGCGAAAGCCUGACGGAGCAACGCCGCGUGAGUGAUGAAGGUCUUCGGAUCGUAAAACUCUGUUAUUAGGGAAAAACAAAUGUGUAAGUAACUAUGCACGUCUUGACGGUACCUAAUCAGAAAGCCACGGCUAACUACGUG